rnacentral:lncRNA from 1 species
UCCUAAAACCCUUGUCAUCUCCUGAGCCACAGGGGUUUCAGAGCAUCUUUCAUUCUAGUGUUUGGUCUUUGACCCCGGUUCCCAACAGACAGCUCCUACUCCCUUGGAAUUUAUUGGGUGAUGGGAGUGUCUUUUGUUCUAAUGAAGCAACUCUAAUGGGCUCCUGGAUGGGGCUGGUCACCAGAAAGACCAGGUUAUGCUGAGAAGCUUGAAACUGUCAGUCCCCCGCCACCCCAUCCUCCGGGAAGGGGAGAGGAGCUGGAGAUCAUGCCCAUGUGAUGAGGCCUCCAUCAAAGUCCUUGCACUCUGGGAUGUGACUGCCUGACAUGCGGAGGCGCUGGGAGAGCAGCACACCUGGAGAGGGCAUGGAAGCUCCAACACCCCACCUCCACACCGCGUGCUAUGCAUCUCUCCCGUCCAGCUGCUCCUGGGUUUCAGUCUUUCUUAAUGAACAACGGAGCUUCCCUAUGUUGUCCAGCCUGGUCUUGAACUCCUGGCCUCAAGCAAUCCUCCUGCCUUGGCUUCCUAAAGUGCUGAAAUUACAGGUGUGUACCACUACACCAGGCCAAAUCCUCACUUAGAAUCACUUGUUAGCUCUUAAAGAUCUGGUGGUGCCCUCUGACCCUAGACAAAUUAGAUCAGGCUCUCUGGGCAUAGCACCUGGCAUCAGCAUUUUGUAAAAGUUCUCUGGGCAGGCUGGUUGUGGUGGCUCACGCCUGUAGCUUCUGCACUUCUGAUGACUCCAUCCAGAUCUCCAGCUUGUCCCGUGGACCCAUCCAUGCAGAAGCAGACUCAGCACGCACAAGGACCAUUUUCCACACCCCUAUGACUGCACCUCAUCCAAUCAGCAGCACCCACUCCCUAGUCCCCAGCUCCCUCCAGAUCAUCCUUGAAAAACCCUAGCCUCUGAAUUUUGGGGGAGACUGACUUAAGUAAUAACAUUCCAGUCUUCCACUUAGCCAGCUCUGUGUGAAUUAAACUCUUUCUCUAUUGCAAUUCCCAUCCUGGUAAGUCAGCUCCAUCUGGGCAGCGGGCAAGGUGAAUCCAGUGGGCGGUCACAGUGACGCCUUUGCUUUCUGAUGGUUUAAUGUACACAAACUUUGUUUCAUGCACAAAAUUAUGAAAAGUAUUGUAUUAAAUUAACUUCAGGCUACGUGUAUAAGGUCUAUAUAAAACAAACAAAUUUUGUACUUUGACUUAGGUCCCAGCCCCAAGAUAUCUCAUUAGGUAGUACAUAUAAAUAUUCAUGAGUCAACUGAGGUAAAGAGCAGCCUGGCUGAAGGUCAACAGCAGGGCUUUUUAAUCAGAUCCAUGCUGCCCCAAAAUAAUGAAACCCUGGAUCAGCUUCUUUUCCAAAUCUCGAGAAUACAGGCUCCUGGGCUGUGAAAUACAAUUUGAAAAUGUUUCUCUUCUAACAAAGAGUGCAAUGUCUUGAGUACUUUAACAUACUGUUUUCUGAAAUCUCACUGUUUGCUGGUAGGUAUCAAUGGCUUUGGCGUGGGGCGUCUGAUAUGUCUAUGUAAAGAAUCUCAUGCUGCCCCAGGAAAAA